GCUUGCAAAGCUCAGUUGGUAGAGCAUCUGACUUUUCUGUUUGAAUCUUAAGUCAUCUGAGAGUUGUGGGUUCAAGUCCCCCUGCAGGCG
rnacentral:tRNA from 1 species